UACUUAUUCCUUUUUAAUCUGGAGGCCUUUUACUUCUUUUCUUGCCUGAUCACCCUGGCUGGAACCUCCAGCACCGCGCUGAGCAGAAGUUGUGAUGGGGACACCCUGCCUUGUUCCUGCUCUUAAGGGAGAAGCAUCCAGUCUUGCACCACUAAGUACCGUGUUAGUGAUGUGUUUUCAUAGAAAUCUUUUAUGGGAUUGAGGAAGUUCCCGUCUGUUCAUAGUUUCUUGAGUGGUUUUAUCACAAAAGGUUUUAAGCUAUCAUCAUCUCAUAAGAAUAUUUAAGAGAUGGCAGGAGGGCACACGGCCCCUCCCCUGCUCAGGCUUGUCUGAUCCCUGCACGAGGCACUCAGUGCUACCCCCACACCCCUUGCCUCCUCCCCAGAGGUGACCUGUCUUGUCUUCCGAUUCCCAUUCAAGUCUCAGAAGGGGAGAGCUUUGUCUCCGUGAAUGUAUACCCUCCCACACCAAAAAUAAAAAUAAAAACCCAUCACAGCCCUGAGGCUGUUGGGACUGGGUCAGGGCCCAGUCCCCUGGCCUGUGAGUGGACACAGCCUGGAAGGGGGCAGGGUGGGGGAAGACUGAGGAGGGCUGAGAGGGGAGUCAACAAUGGAGGGAGGGAAAGCUGUCAGCUCAUAGCCCUCAGAUACACGGGGUCUGAGGAGGGAAAAGGGGCUGGCAGGGCCAAGCUGGGGUGGCUGUGGGUCUCCUGUCACCAGCUCAGAACGUGCUGAUGGGCUGGGCCUACGCCUGCCCAGACAGGGAGCCGUGGGGGAACAGAGAAGGGACUGUCCCCCUGCUGUUGUCACUCCCAGCACUUCGGCCAGCUCUCUCACCCUGCCCACCUCUAGGCACCCCUUCCAGGCACAGCACCCCUUCUUACCUCUGCCCAUUCCUUCUCCCUGUCUCCUAGUUCCUCCUCAGGAGGCACCUGCACCCGGAGAGCCCUCUCUCCCACCAGGCCACCCCUGGCCCCUCAGCACUCUUGGCAGCAUUGUCACAGCUGGCUGUGGCACACAGUGGAUGCUCCUCCCCUGGGUUUACAGGCAGAGGGCUUCCCUGCCGUCCAGUGUUGGGUGAGAAAGGUGGAGGGGACAUGUAGCCCCGGAUGGAGGUGCAGCACCAACGAGAGAGCUCCGGCCUGUGGGAGGGACGCUCAGGCUUAGGUCAAAGCCAGGAGCUCCGGGAAACCUGGGUUCAGCCGCCACGCCCCACGGAGGGGACACACCCUUCCCUGCCUGAUGGCAGGGCCCAUGGUAGACAAAACCCAUGACCUCACCUCUCCUGGCUCCAGGGCUCAGCCCUGCCCACUUCUGGAGAAUUCCAUGACUCAGGUAACAGAGGAGGGGCCUAGCCAGUCUCAGAGCCAAGGUCACACCGCCCUACACCUUGCUGUCCCCACAGCAUCUGCAGGAGGAGCAUGCCAGGACCAGAGACCCAGGGAGCAGCCUCACCAGAGGGAAAAGAGCCUGUAGAGUGGUGAGCUCAGGCUCUGGAGUGAAUGGUGAUGGAGCCUUGGCUUGGUGUGCUGGACACUUGCUUGGUGCCCUGAGCCACCACGUCCAAGUCCAGCUACUGUGAGGUCCCAUGCUGGGAGGAAUCCCAGGCCCUAGGCCAGGUUCCAGCUGACAGCCCCGGCUGAAGUCCCAGACCACAGCCAGCGUCGCCCCCCAAGACCUGAGGGAAGACAUUCACGUCCAGGUCAUUUUGGCUCCAGCUUUGGAGACCUGCCAGUGAGCCCUAGACAUCAUGGACGGGGCAAGCUGCCCCUUCUGCGCCCUGUCCGAUCUCCUAACCACAGAAUCUGGGUGCAUAAGAAAACGGUUGUUUGAAGCAGCUGAGUUCUGGCGUUACUUGUCAUGCAGUAACUGAUAAACAAAACAGCUGCCACCUGCUUCCUGCCCACCCUGUACAAAGACUCCUGUCACCACGGAGCCUGGCACCUCUGGGUGGCUGAAUUCAUUGUGCUCAUUUCUGCGUGACCUUUCUUCACCUCUCAGCCCCAUUCCAGCCUUCUCGGUGAUACCCUGGCCCUUGGCUUCUAUGACCCCUUCUCCCUUCUGUUCCUUCCUCCUCCUCCAUGCCUGGGCCUCA
rnacentral:lncRNA from 1 species